UACAUUUGAGUGAGUGGCGAACUGGUGAGUAACACGUGGGAAACCUGCCCAGAAGCGGGGGAUAACACCUGGAAACAGAUGCUAAUACCGCAUAACAACUUGGACCGCAUGGUCCGAGCUUGAAAGAUGGCUUCGGCUAUCACUUUUGGAUGGUCCCGCGGCGUAUUAGCUAGAUGGUGGGGUAACGGCUCACCAUGGCAAUGAUACGUAGCCGACCUGAGAGGGUAAUCGGCCACAUUGGGACUGAGACACGGCCCAAACUCCUACGGGAGGCAGCAGUAGGGAAUCUUCCACAAUGGACGAAAGUCUGAUGGAGCAACGCCGCGUGAGUGAAGAAGGGUUUCGGCUCGUAAAACUCUGUUGUUAAAGAAGAACAUAUCUGAGAGUAACUGUUCAGGUAUUGACGGUAUUUAACCAGAAAGCCACGGCUAACUACGUGCCAGCAGCCGCGGUAAUACGUAGGUGGCAAGCGUUGUCCGGAUUUAUUGGGCGUAAAGCGAGCGCAGGCGGUUUUUUAAGUCUGAUGUGAAAGCCUUCGGCUCAACCGAAGAAGUGCAUCGGAAACUGGGAAACUUGAGUGCAGAAGAGGACAGUGGAACUCCAUGUGUAGCGGUGAAAUGCGUAGAUAUAUGGAAGAACACCAGUGGCGAAGGCGGCUGUCUGGUCUGUAACUGACGCUGAGGCUCGAAAGUAUGGGUAGCAAACAGGAUUAGAUACCCUGGUAGUCCAUACCGUAAACGAUGAAUGCUAAGUGUUGGAGGGUUUCCGCCCUUCAGUGCUGCAGCUAACGCAUUAAGCAUUCCGCCUGGGGAGUACGGCCGCAAGGCUGAAACUCAAAGGAAUUGACGGGGGCCCGCACAAGCGGUGGAGCAUGUGGUUUAAUUCGAAGCUACGCGAAGAACCUUACCAGGUCUUGACAUACUAUGCAAAUCUAAGAGAUUAGACGUUCCCUUCGGGGACAUGGAUACAGGUGGUGCAUGGUUGUCGUCAGCUCUUGUCGUGAGAUGUUGGGUUAAGUCCCGCAACGAGCGCAACCCUUAUUAUCAGUUGCCAGCAUUAAGUUGGGCACUCUGGUGAGACUGCCGGUGACAAACCGGAGGAAGGUGGGGAUGACGUCAAAUCAUCAUGCCCCUUAUGACCUGGGCUACACACGUGCUACAAUGGAUGGUACAACGAGUUGCGAACUCGCGAGAGUAAGCUAAUCUCUUAAAGCCAUUCUCAGUUCGGAUUGUAGGCUGCAACUCGCCUACAUGAAGUCGGAAUCGCUAGUAAUCGCGGAUCAGCAUGCCGCGGUGAAUACGUUCCCGGGCCUUGUACACACCGCCCGUCACACCAUGAGAG
rnacentral:rRNA from 1 species